CAACAGAGUAGCUAGCAAGCAACAAGAUAUGCCAAACAACAGUCUAAAAACCACUUGAGGGCAAAUCAAUCAGAUUUGAACAUUCAGACACAAGUCACAUGGCCAGGAAUCAGAUUUGUAUAAUUUAAAACCACCUACGAAGGUGGUUUGAAAUGUGGCUUGAAAUAUCAGAUUCCAUGUGGAAAGAACAGAUUCGAAUUGGAUCUGCCAAAAAAUUGGAUUUGAGUCACUUCAAACUGCCAAUGUGAAAACGGCUUAAGAAGCCUCUCCACAGGUCAGCUGUUGCAACUUGCCACGAUGAGAGGGUGCCUUAAUACCUCACCCUCUGCUUCCUGUUGGAGAUGAAGCUACAGACCCAGGGGAUAAUGGACUCUCUGACUCAUAGCUGAAUCAGGCACUUUGUUACCACUGUAUGGUCAACUUUGUUGAAGGCGUUGGCAAUCUGUUGUUGUUAUGGUGCAGAUGGUCUUACUUGCAUCAGUGGACUUCAUGUCUAGGAGGCUGACCAAGGCGUCUGUCGUCGACCUGCCCUUUUUGCAUCCAAACCGUCUUGGGUCAAGCUUGUGUCCGAUGUCUUCCAGCAUCCAAUCGGUGGCAUGGGUUCAUUCACACUGUUGAUAAAAUGGGGUAAAGAGACAAACUGAUGGAGGCUCAAGUCAUGUUGACGUAUGAUCCGGUCUGUAGCAGCAGAGUGUAUAAAUGCUUUCAGGGGCGCAACUUUGGUUUUUAGAAGUGGGGGUCACAUAACUCAUUAUUAUUUAAUUUUGAUCCAGUCGGAUAAACACUCCAAACAGCCUACCCGACCGCUCGGAGGAAUCCGCAUGGUUCUAAAACACACCCGUUGCCUCAUUUUGUAUCACAUUCCAAUGAUAAAACUAAGGGGGACAAAAAUGCAAUUUCAGAAUGUGCCCCCCGUCCCCAGUGAAAGUUGCGCCCCUGAAUGCUUUUGAAAACCAAAACAUAGUGACAUUAGUACUAUAGACUGACUUGAGGAGUUUAGAGUGGAAGAUUGGGGCUUUACAAUUGAAAGUGUCAUAAAUGAGUGUGUAUACAGUUUAUUUGGGGUGUGUUGUCAGAGUGUGUAGACUAAAUUCCUCGUAGAGUGAACAGUGGUGGGUGUAAUAAGGAGCUGUAGGACCAAAUCUAAUGCCAGGGUAUCACAGUAUGGCCAGGCAUAGAUAGCAGAACGUUAUGCUAAGACAAACUCCGAUUGAGGAGUACAUUCAGAAAGAGCACACAACAUAAUACUCCUCACCUCUCCACCCUGAUAGCUGAUGUGUGGUGAACGUUCUGGCACAGUAUGGUUGCUAUGCAUCACCAAGUGGGUGCUACACAUUGGUGGGGGAUAAGGUGUAUGUAAAGUGCUUUGAGAGGUCUUUCUGAUCUAAACAUUUAUUUCACAUCUGCAGAAAUAGUUUUUCAGACCUAGCGGGAAUGUUUUUUUUGUUAAUUAUCUGACUGUAGUCCCAGUCCUUCCUCAAAGAUGGUCCAGCGGAGACUUAAGGAAGACGGCCCAUGCAGUUUCCCAGAUACAUGUAUGCAAUGUCCCUUUCCAUAUUUAUUUGCAGGAUGCAAUGCCAUCAACUACACCAGGGUUUACCAAACUUUUUCCACCACGGCCACCUAUUUCUCAGCUUUGAUCUAACUUUAUUAAAUAUGAACACCAUUCGCCAGAGUAGGCUAGCCUGUUCUCUAUGAGUGGAGCGGAGACCGUGAGUGGAGUGGAGGGUCCCGCACAUGCGCAGAAGCUUCGGGACCUUAAGCUGUCAGGAGGAAAGAUCCAGAAAAGUCGUUUUUUUUUUUUUACAUUGCAUGCUUUUAUUUCCCAUCAUGCUUUCAAUAAUCUCACCAGAAGAAGAAAAAACCCAUAACUAACCAACGCUUUGAAGAAAUCAACUGACUUUAAGCUGUCACUGUAGGAUCGGUAUUUGUUUGUUCUUUACCUCUAGAACACAACUUGAAACAUCAGGAGGAGGAACCAAAGUGAUGGACCUGGUUUCAAUGACAGAAAAGGCAGACAAAAAGAUGUAGGCAAUGGAGAAAAAACAUAAUGUGGUACAGCGGUGGUCACUUGCCAGCUUUGAGUCCAACAGAAUACUCAAAGCUGCGUUGGGCAAAAGCUGUGUCGAAUACCAUCUACCACUCUGCUCUGGAACGUAAAUUAAUGUGCGGCUUAAUGAGGAAAUAUGCAGUGGGUCAAGCAAUGGCAACAAGUUUGUCAAGGCAAAUCUUGAAACGUUAUAACACAUUCAGGGCAUCAAUAGAGCUGUACGGCCUGAAGAGGCCUACCCUUCUCUAAUCUCCCUCAACUGCUGGCUUUCGAAGUGGCAAUCGAUCUGGAGGGUGGUGUCUGGAGCCAAUGUGGAGGGAGUUUCUGUUUAACCGCAAACAGAUACACUUUUUUGUUUUUGCUAUGAGAAAGCUUGACCUUUCCACGUUGCUCUGUAAUGUUUAUUUAAAUGAUCAGACUUUCCUCUCGUCUCCUGUCUUUUGUACUGGAACGUUUUGGGGAUUUCAAGGUCUUUAUACUGUAAUUGUGAAUAAACAUUUAUCAAAUGCAUGUGUCAACAAUAAAGGUGUACAGUUGCUUAUGUCUUUCACUUUGGAUGUACCGGAGUUAAAAGUAUUAUCAAUGUAAUGGAUAUGAAAUGGGAAAAGUAUCAAAAGAACCAACAACAACGCAUGUUAAACCAAAGUGAUUUGUUUGCAUUGCAAAGUUUGUUUUGGGCGGGGGGACAGAAUGAUUCCAUUCGUAGGCCUAUACUCUUUCACUGAAACAAAUAUAGAACCCCAGGGGUUCUUCUUAACUGAACCAAAAUGUGUUCCAUAUAUAACCCUGUAGGGUGCCAUUUAUAAAUGAUUGCUACUAAUAAAAAUACAAUUUCUAGCUAAGAAUAUAAUAUAACCAUA